UGACACAGUGGGAAUCUGAAUGGCCGCUACGAAAGAGACGAAAACAACACAUUACAACAUUUGUAAUAGCUACAGCAGCAAUGUUGACAGCACAUCCUCGAUCUCCGUCUUCCUGAUCCAUCUAUUCACGUCACGUGGUCUGCACUUUCUUUAAGGUUACUUUUGAUGCAACCAAGGAAAUUAUUGACUAGAGUCUGACACCAAGGAGAGCAAUGAGACAAAGAACAUGAGCCAGUUUGUCGCUUCAGCAUUUCUGUGUGUCCUACCUCGCAGAAUCUCCAGGUUUGUACCAUGAUGGGACAAAACGAUAAAUGUCCGGAGACAGUUCUGUGUAGUGACGGCUAUCAGUGUUCCCCACG